rnacentral:lncRNA from 1 species
UUGGUGUUAUGGACAUGCUCCGAUUCCACUUGUUCACUAUAGGUAAACAUAUAGGUUUCAGAUUCAUCCAAGUUGCUUCUAACCACCGUAAUCAUUCUCAAACUGAAAUUCUUGUUUCUCUAGGCCAUGCUUGGAUUUCUGAAUAUGGCUGUUCAGAAAACGACCAACAGUUCAAUUGGCUGAUCAAGUAAGACAUGAUAUUACUUAAUAAAAAAAACGAAAAAAGAAUGAUGAUCAGUUUAUCAUACAUUACCUGAGAGUUUGCUCUGUGACAAUUUGAUCAGGUACUCUCCACUGCACAAUGUGAGGAGACCUUGGGAAAUGAACACUGAUGAGGCAAUUCAGUACCCUCCCACCAUGUUGCUUACUGCCGAUCACGACGAUCGAGUUGUUCCAUUACACUCUCUGAAGUUGUUGGCGGUGACUGAUCGACUUUUCCCUCCAAUUCUCUCGACUGGAGACAUAACUGUAUCAUGGUUUCUUGACUUUUCUUAUUUUAUGCAGACGUUGCAGAGUGUUCUGAUCACCAGCUUGGAGAAGAGUCCCCAAACCAACCCAAUAAUUGGCCGGAUUGAUCAGAAAUCAGGCCACGGGUAUGGCCGUCCCACUCAGAAAGAGGUAAGCUUUUUUACACUUAUUGAAUUGAUUUCUUCUCUACUUAUCUGUGGGCUAUUAAUUCAACUGUGUGUUUGACAGAUUGAUAUAGCUGCCGACUGUUAUGGGUUCAUGGCGAAGAUGAUGAAUUUGGAGUGGACUGACUAGGAAACAUAAAAUCGCAUCCAGUUGAAUUCAUUAGUACUGUUGUACAAUGGUUUCUAGUAUAAGGAUAUGAUAAUAAGCAGCUGUUACAAGGUCUUGUAAGAUGGAAUAAACAGUGCAAUUCUACAAUUUGUUCUAAUCAUGUGUAAUUUGUGUACGAUGAAAUUAAAAAAUAUUGAGACUUUGAUGAAAAUCACAACCUGUGUUGUAGAAGUAAUUUCAAAAUCGAGCUUCUGUACCGAAGAAUUCGGAUUUGCUGGAUUCGGAUUACCUUUUCGGAGCCUAUAUAUAAAUCUUCCGAUUAGGGUUUCUUUCUUUGUAUUAUUGUAAAGCCUAAACCUAAAUGGAGAGGUUACCGGAUGAGCUACUCACAGAGAUAUUACGGUGGAUGCCACUGGAGGAAGCCGCAACAACAAGCCUUGUUUCGAAGCGAUGGCGAUACGCCUGGAGAAACCCACCAAAUCCUCAAUUCGACGACAACAAGAUAACUAAAUUCAGGAGCGAUGGCUAUCCCGUCUCUUACUUCCAAAGCCUCCACGAUUUCUACACGUGGAUGGACGAGAUUAUCCGCCAUGUGGAAUAGAAGAACAAGGAGACUGAUUUCUGGAUUGAAUCUCAAUUUCAAGCCAGAUGAGGAAUAUGAAGAGGAAGAUGAAGAAGACAGAUAUGAAUGGGUUGAAUUUAGGAAUUCAGACGACUCCCUAAUAAUCGGCGGAUUCAGAAUUGUGCGUCUCUUGUCAUUGUCGACCGUCCUGGAAUCAAUCUGAUCUUCGUGCUUUCUCGGCGUCGGCGGCCGUAUCUCCUGAAAACCCCGACUCUAGGCAACUGUGAUAUGGAAAUACUGAAGAGUGAACUAGUAUUCGGAGCAAACGGAGACAGUUUCAGGUCUCUGGAAUCACUGGUUUUUUACUGCGGUGGGAAAGAAAUACAUUUUGAUAUGAUAAUAAGCUUCAUCCUAGGUCUUCCGUCUGUGAUGAGCAUCACGUUGGAGCAGUGCAUACUUACCGAUGAAGACCAACCAAACCUCAAUAAAAGUAGGAUCGAGUUUUCCUUGUCUCAAAAGAGGCAGAUUACUAGCCUUCGAUUCUUCAGUAAAAAUUUCC